rnacentral:rRNA from 1 species
UACGUAGGGCGCAAGCGUUGUCCGGAAUUAUUGGGCGUAAAGAGCUCGUAGGCGGUCUGUUACGUCCGCUGUGAAAACCCAGGGCUUAACCCUGGGCUUGCAGUGGAUACGGGUAGACUAGAGGCAGGUAGGGGAGAAUGGAAUUCCCGGUGUAGCGGUGAAAUGCGCAGAUAUCGGGAGGAACACCGAUGGCGAAGGCAGGUCUCUGGGCCAUAACUGACGCUGAGAAGCGAAAGCAUGGGGGAGCGAACAGG